rnacentral:rRNA from 1 species
AUGCGGCCGGCGUGUUCACCGACGACAUCAUCCUGGAGAUCCUCUCCCGCCUCCCAGCCAGAUCCGUCCACCGCUUCAAGUGCGUUUCCGUACCCGGGCGCGACCUCAUCACCGACCCUGCCAACCGCAAGAAGCUGCCCCAGGCCCUCGCCGGCUUCCUGUACAUGUCCUUCCGCAGCGUGCACCACCACCACUUCGCCAGCGUCUCCGGCGGCGCAGCCCCGUUCGACCCUUCCGUCCCUUACCUGCAGCCAAACAAGUACAAGGACAUGGAGCAGGUGGACGCCUGCAAUGGCCUCCUUCUCUACCGCGGCUGCACCAAGAAUUUGCCCCCUUGGGAUUGGAAAGAGGAUGAUUGCCGUUUUGUCGUGUGCAAUCCUGCCACUGGCAGCUGGGUGGAGCUGCCCCCUCAACCUCAACUGCAAGAGCCGGUGA